rnacentral:rRNA from 1 species
CUACGGGGGACACCAGUGGGGAAUAUUGCACAAUGGGGGGAACCCUGAUGCAGCAACGCCGCGUGGAGGAUGACACAUUUCGGUGCGUAAACUCCUUUUAUAUAAGGAGAUAAUGACGGUAUUAUAUGAAUAAGCACCGGCUAACUCCGUGCCAGCAGCCGCGGUAAUACGGGGGGUGCAAGCGUUACUCGGAAUCACUGGGCGUAAAGAGCAUGUAGGCGGGUAGAAAAGUUGGAAGUGAAAUCCUAUGGCUUAACCAUAGAACUGCUUCCAAAACUCUUUACCUAGAAUAUGGGAGAGGUAGAUGGAAUUUCUGGUGUAGGGGUAAAAUCCGUAGAGAUCAGAAGGAAUACCGAUUGCGAAGGCGAUCUACUGGAACAUUAUUGACGCUCAGAUGCGAAAGCGUGAGGAGCAAACAGGAUUAGAUACCCUUGUAGUC